rnacentral:rRNA from 1 species
UACGUAGGGUGCGAGCGUUAAUCGGAAUUACUGGGCGUAAAGCGUGCGCAGGCGGUUCGUUGUGUCGGCGGUGAAAGCCCCGGGCUCAAUCUGGGAAUGGCCGUUGAAACUGGCGAACUGGAGUGUGGCAGAGGGGGGUGGAAUUCCGCGUGUAGCAGUGAAAUGCGUAGAGAUGCGGAGGAACACCGAUGGCGAAGGCAGCCCCCCUGGGCUAGCACUGACGCUCAGGCACGAAAGCGUGGGGAGCAAACAGG